rnacentral:rRNA from 1 species
AGCGAACGCUGGCGGCAGGCUUAACACAUGCAAGUCGAGCGGGCAUCCUCGUGGUGUCAGCGGCAGACGGGUGAGUAACGCGUGGGAACGUGCCCUUCGGUUCGGAAUAACUCAGGGAAACUUGAGCUAAUACCGGAUACGUGCGAGAGCAGAAAGGUUUAUCUGCCGAAGGAUCGGCCCGCGUCUGAUUAGCUAGUUGGUGAGGUUAUGGCUCACCAAGGCGACGAUCAGUAGCUGGUCUGAGAGGAUGAUCAGCCACACUGGGACUGAGACACGGCCCAGACUCCUACGGGAGGCAGCAGUGGGGAAUAUUGGACAAUGGGGGCAACCCUGAUCCAGCCAUGCCGCGUGAGUGAUGACGGCCUUAGGGUUGUAAAGCUCUUUUCUGCGGGACGAUAAUGACGGUACCGGAGGAAUAAGCCCCGGCUAACUUCGUG